rnacentral:rRNA from 1 species
UCCGGAAAAUCAAGGCUGAGGCGUGAUGACGAGGCACUACGGUGCUGAAGCAACAAAUGCCCUGCUUCCAGGAAAAGCCUCUAAGCAUCAGGUAACAUCAAAUCGUACCCCAAACCGACACAGGUGGUCAGGUAGAGAAUACCAAGGCGCUUGAGAGAACUCGGGUGAAGGAACUAGGCAAAAUGGUGCCGUAACUUCGGGAGAAGGCACGCUGAUAUGUAGGUGAAGCGACUUGCUCGUGGAGCUGAAAUCAGUCGAAGAUACCAGCUGGCUGCAACUGUUUAUUAAAAACACAGCACUGUGCAAACACGAAAGUGGACGUAUACGGUGUGACGCCUGCCCGGUGCCGGAA